rnacentral:rRNA from 1 species
GUUUCCAGUAACGACGUCAUUGCUGUGGAGUAAAUGGAGAUAUGGGUAGGUGGGGCGAGCUGCCUCCUACCUCCUGCGGAUGCCGGUCUGGGUGAACUGAGAGUGGCUCGGCGGCGCAACCACCAUCUCCUUAGGUUACGGUGUCUCUGCUCCAGCGCUCAUGGAGUUCUUGAUGCAGCCGUGCAACAGUAGAACCCUCAUAGAGGAAGUGGAUGACAGCGACGUACCCAACUACCCCUGGAGCCUUUGCAUUAUCCUGUUUUGUCAGCGGCGGCUGGCGAGCUGCCGGCGACGAGUGCUUCCAGUGUGGAGGCGCGGAUCUCUGCGGCGGCGGCUGUAGCACCAGGAGGGAGUGCAGAUAGGUCGCAACUCGCAAGUAUCUGAACACUCAAUAGAGCAAAUUGAUCCACAGACGCCCGGCUGGACACGGAGGGUCAGGGUUGGUACUGCAGCACCAGGCCGUGCCCCCUGCCCGGGUAGGAUGGCAACAUUGGAGAAAUCAGUGUGCGUGUUUGCCGAGUCCCCCAGUGACAAUGUGAUUAUGCCAAAGUUAGGCAUCAACUUCGAUACGCUUGGAGAAGCCUACGAUUUUUACAAUCUGUAUUCAUGGGAGAAAGGAUUCGGCAUUAGAUCCAGUGCUUUCCCGUAGCGGCGAUAGUGCACACAGUAAAUGCGGAAGUUGGGCGCUGAGAGCAGCUGUCUCCUACCUCGCGAAGUUAGAUCUAUCAUUCUUGAAGAUGGCGAAGCCGUAGAGGAACCUCCUGCGGGGGACUGGGUGCUUCGGCGAGCAUGGAGUUCUUGAUGCAGCCAAUAAAUAGCAGAAUACUGCUAGAGGAGCUAAACAACAUCGCCAUGGAGCCUGUUCACUACCCUGUGAGGACACCCCCGGUGGUUGAGCUGCUGGCCACGACGACCUCAAGUGCAGACGGCCAAAUCUGUGCUGACUGCUGAGGGUGCUGCUCCAGAGGCAGGCAGUGCAGACAAGGCUCAAGGUUCAGAGCACUCCAUGGAGCAGGUGGAUCCGAAAACUCCAGGGUGGAAGCAAAGAGUGCGGGUUGGUGCUGCCACGCUAGGCAGAGCUCCAUGCCCUGAUAGGAUUACAGCACUGGGGAAAUCAAUCCGGCAAUUUGCAGAAGAACCAGGUGAUUGUGCCGAAGAUAGGAACACGUUUUGACACACUUGGUGAGGCCUAUGAUUUUUACAAUUUAUAUUCGUGGGAGAAAGGAUUCGGCAUUAGAUACGAAAAGAGCAGGGUAAACGUAAACUGGACAAAUGCAUGAAAGAGAUAGUCUAUGGUUGCGCGGGGAAGCAAAUAGUUGAAAAUACUCGGUCUUGCCGCUGUUAAUGCCCUACUCUCAUAAGAUUGUUGCGGUUAAAGGACAACGGGAGCAUCGAUAUGAGCACAUACAUUCAUUGUCUCCCACGUACGGACAGACAAUACACUGGCCAUCACACAAGCAUAUCGACGUGUACAUCAGAGGUCUCGUGAAGCAGCUGUGGCAAAACAAUGACAACUUAGCGAGAAUGGGGAUGUUGUGAACCAGGUUCACCCAGAAGGCGCUGAGAUGGGACAGGGAGGCAGAAUGCCUACUGUUAUGAGGAAAUGAGGACCGAUGAUAACACUUCAGCCAAUCAGUCGGGUGAUAUGCUGACAGGCUUAUUGCCUCCAGCUAAGAGGAAGGAUGUGGGAAAGCCUACGACAAGCAGAGAGAAAGCACUGUAUGAUGGACUGAGUAAGAUGACAAGAUUAUGCAUGAUUUUCAGUGACAAGCACACAAACGGAUACCCUGCCCUGAUCGUGGGGAUGUACAAAAACAGCCUUGGAAGCCAGGAAGAUGCAAGAAUUGUGGCGUUGAAGGCCAUCGUCGAUACAACUACCACAAAGUGGCUGAGCUCAGGCUGAAGAGCUGAUCUGAUCUUGUUUUGUUUAGCUGCAGCACUCUGCUUGCCAAAUUUUAAGCUGCCUUGUACCUGAGUACUAAGUUGUGUUCUUUCUGAAUAAUUAGAACUUGUCUGUACAAAGUCUGCAUUGUAAAAUGGCUGUGCUUUGUGUUCCUUACUGAUAUUAUAUUAUUAUUUGAUCUUCCUGUGUUGCUG